rnacentral:rRNA from 1 species
UGGGGAAUUUUGGACAAUGGGCGCAAGCCUGAUCCAGCAAUGCCGCGUGCAGGACGAAGGCCUUCGGGUUGUAAACUGCUUUUGUACAGAACGAAAAGCCUUGGGUGAAUACCCUGAGGACAUGACGGUACUGUAAGAAUAAGCACCGGCUAACUACGUGCCAGCAGCCGCGGUAAUACGUAGGGUGCGAGCGUUAAUCGGAAUUACUGGGCGUAAAGCGUGCGCAGGCGGUUUUGUAAGACAGAGGUGAAAUCCCCGGGCUCAACCUGGGAACUGCCGUUGUGACUGCAAGGCUGGAGUGCGGCAGAGGGGGAUGGAAUUCCGCGUGUAGCAGUGAAAUGCGUAGAUAUGCGGAGGAACACCGAUGGCGAAGGCAAUCCCCUGGGCCUGCACUGACGCUCAUGCACGAAAGCGUGGGGAGCAAACAG